AUGGUUAAUGAAGGCAUUGUCUUGCGGCAUAAAAUUUCUGAAAGAGGUAUUGAAGUUGAUAAAGCUAAAGUUGAUGCUAUUGAAAAGAUGCCAUGUGCCAAGGACAUUAAAGGUAUAAGAAGUUUCCUUGGUCAUGCCGGUUUUUAUAGGAGGUUCAUUAAGGACUUUUCUAAAAUCUCUAGGCCUCUAACUAAUUUAUUGCAAAAAGAUAUUCCUUUUGUCUUUGAUGAUGAUUGUGUAGAAGCAUUUGAAAUACUUAAGAAAUCUUUGAUCACUGCACCUAUUGUUCAGCCACAUGAUUGGAAUUUACCCUUUGAAAUUAUGUGUGAUGCUAGUGAUUAUGCUGUAGGUGAUGUUCUAGGGCAAAGAGUUGAUAAGAAAUUAAAUGUUAUCCAGUAUGCUAGUAAAACUCUUGACACUGCCCAGAGAAAUUAUGCUACUACUGAAUAA
rnacentral:rRNA from 1 species